UACGAAGGGGGCUAGCGUUGCUCGGAAUCACUGGGCGUAAAGCGCACGUAGGCGGCUUUUUAAGUCAGGGGUGAAAUCCUGGAGCUCAACUCCAGAACUGCCUUUGAUACUGAGAAGCUUGAGUCCGGGAGAGGUGAGUGGAACUGCGAGUGUAGAGGUGAAAUUCGUAGAUAUUCGGAAGAACACCAGUGGCGAAGGCGACUCACUGGACACAUAUUGACGCUGAGGUGCGAAAGCGUGGGGAGCAAACAGG
rnacentral:rRNA from 1 species